rnacentral:pre_miRNA from 1 species
CAAAUGCCUCACAAGUGAAUUCUUGUCUUAAAUUUGUCUAAAUACGGAUGUAUCUAGUUACAUUUUAGUGUUAGAUACAUUCGUAUCUAAACAAAUGUAAGACAAGAAUUUUGGGAUGGAGGGAAUACUAC